UCGACUAGCGAUGAAAU
rnacentral:rRNA from 1 species